CACAACUUUCUUAGUGACACCAACUCGAUUCUGCAGAUAAAAAGAUGCACAAAUUCUUGCAGAUCUCAAGGAACAAAGAUGAUUAAAUGUUGCAAUGAGCUGAUGCACUCUGUGGAAAUGAGUGUUUACAUAGAAUGGAUAAAAAACUAUAGACAGGAGAUAUUUGCACUUCUACAGGAAUGUCAGCAGAUUCCCAAGAGGUGCACAGUAGAGAGCAUACUGAUUGGCUGCAUUGUGGCUUGGUUCGGCAACUUGAACGUCCAGGAGCGGAAAAGACUGCAAAAGCUGUGACCGCUGCCCAGUCCAUCACCGGCUCUGACCUUCCCACCAUCGAAGUCACUGCCUCAAAAAGGUGACCAACAUCAUCAAAGACCCACACCAUCCUGGCCACACACUCAUCUCAUCGUUGCCAUCAGGAAGAAGGUACAGGAGCCUGAAAACUGUAACAACCAGGUUCAGGAACUGCUUCUUCCUGACAGCCAUCAGGCUAUUAAACACAAUAGCAAAUAAGUAGUUAAAACAGUUUGAAUACACUCACAGAAUUUUUUAAACAAAACAAAGCUUGAAAGUGUGUUUCGCAAAGAGCUACAGCAGCUGCUUACUCUGAGGUCGCGUAAUGGCAAAGAUCUACGAAAAAUUAACAUGUCGGAACUGAAGCCUGGAGGGAAAGAGGUAACAAUGGUCAGGCAAUCUUCCAUCCACCAGGAACACCUGACCACAACCAGACUCCCAGAUCAAAUGAAUCCAACCAGCUCGGCCUAGAUUGAAGCAUAACAUUUGUGACCAAUGAUACUCGUGGCCUACCAGUUUUCUGAAGCAC